rnacentral:lncRNA from 1 species
GUACAGGACUCUCUCCAAUGGCACAUGCAAACCUGAGUUCAUCUGUAGGGGAAGAUGCUUUCAAGAUAACUCGGGGAAAGGAAGAGCCAUCACAUGGACAGUGCCAGGCAGCUCAAGUCAGGAAGGAGCUCCAGCUCAGACGGUGAGCAGAUGCCGGAUGCCAUCGAUGCCCAGGGACAGACUGGAACGCGUCUCUGCCUCUGUCCAAGCCAUCUCUAACCACAGGAGAAGGCUGUGCCUCCCCCACACUGACCCAGCUAUCAGGCUGAGAGUCCUUUGUGGAAUAUGCACUGUCGCUCCCUAUGGAGAACAAAAGGCUAUCUCGAGCUGGAAACGAUCAGCAGAGGUGAAAUGUGGCCGACGUGUGACUGGACUUCAAGAAGAAAGGCUGGGACUGAGGAUCGGCUGUAACUUUGUCCCUGGGCUCCCCAGCUGGUUCUUUCACAGUAGAGUCCCCAGUUAAUUCAAGACUGCCCCCCACCCCCGCCCCCACCCCCCCCACCCCCGUAACCUGCCUUUCUGUGUGUGAAGUUGUGAUCUGGAGAGCUGCAGCACACACGGAUGGUGGAAGGCCUAAGGAACUCCAUCCCUGCUGUGGAGGAGUUGUUAUCUGUGCUGGGGCAAGACAGCUGCCUUGGGGUCCCCUGCUCCUGUAAGUAACCCCUCAACCCUGCUCUGUAAAUAAGCCAAAUAAACUCAUGGGCUCCCCACAUUGGGCCCCCUGGGUGGACUGGUCCUUCUGGUUUAUCCUCGGUGCUCCAGAAAGGAGUAGAUGUUUGUCCGCGUCUCCCUGGAGAAGCGUUCUGUGAACCCCGUGCGGUGCUUGGUGGAAAAUGUAUUCUCAAGGCCCUGUUGGCUAAGCCCGUUUUAGAAAAAUAAACAAACUUGUGUAAUCAAACAUGUAAAGUCCCAAAAUUCAGUUUUUCUUUUUAAGAUUCCCAUUGGACAAAUAGAAAGAAUUAAAAACAAACAAACAAACAGGCAAGCAAACAAAACCCUGCAUGGAUCAGUUUUCUGAAGACCACGCAUGUCCUUUUAGAGGUAGCGGCUUCUCCCCCAAUUUUCCAGACACACACACAUCUCUGCUUUCCUCUUGUGCACCUGGUGGAGACUGUUGACGAAAGCCUCGUUGAUAAUUUGGUGGCUGGCAAUCCUGAGUAUACUUUCCAAAGGAAAUGACGUCAUAAGAGGCUUUGGGCUUCCUGGGGCUGCUGGCACAGCCUAAUUAACCUAGCACACUACCGAGAAGCUAUGGAUUUUCUGAAGGAAAUGAACAGAGAAAGAAGUAAUUGUGACGGUCGUGAAAUAAACAGAAAACCUGAACAAGGGCUGCUUGCUCUUGCUCCCUUGGAGCAGACCUUAGCUCGCCUCCAGUCUGCACUCCUAAGUGAUCACGGCCUGAAAUUAGUGACUUCCUCUGCUAACAGCCGACUCUGACAGCUGCUCAGCUCUGCCAGGCAUACAUGGCUUUCAUCUACCACAAACAGCCUCUCUGAAGUCAGUGACGUCUCCACGGCAACCAGAUCAAGUUUUUCCAGAGAUAUUGGGACAGAAAAGGAGAAGAAAUUGACAGGUUUUGUUAAGGGGCCUGAACCCUG